AUUGAACGCUGGCGGCAGGCUUAACACAUGUAAGUCGAGCGGAGAGAGGUAGCUUGCUACUGAUCUUAGCGGCGGACGGGUGAGUAAUGCUUAGGAAUCUGCCUAUUAGUGGGGGACAACAUUUCGAAAGGAAUGCUAAUACCGCAUACGUCCUACGGGAGAAAGCAGGGGAUCUUCGGACCUUGCGCUAAUAGAUGAGCCUAAGUCGGAUUAGCUAGUUGGUGGGGUAAAGGCUCACCAAGGCGACGAUCCGUAACUGGUCUGAGAGGAUGAUCAGUAACACUGGAACUGAGACACGGUCCAGACUCCUACGGGAGGCAGCAGUGGGGAAUUUUGCGCAAUGGACGAGAGUCUGACGCAGCAACGCCGCGUGGGUGAUGAAGGUCUUCGGACUGUAAAACCCUGUCGUCAGGGACGAAGGUGGCAGUGUUAAUAGCGCUGUUACUUGACGGUACCUGGAGAGGAAGCCCCGGCUAACUCUGUGCCAGCCGCCGCCGUAACAC
rnacentral:rRNA from 1 species